rnacentral:rRNA from 1 species
AGUGAACGCUGGCGGUAGGCCUAACACAUGCAAGUCGAGCGGCAGCACAGUAAGAGCUUGCUCUUACGGGUGGCGAGUGGCGGACGGGUGAGGAAUACAUCGGAAUCUACUUUUUCGUGGGGGAUAACGUAGGGAAACUUACGCUAAUACCGCAUACGACCUACGGGUGAAAGCAGGGGAUCUUCGGACCUUGCGCGAUUGAAUGAGCCGAUGUCGGAUUAGCUAGGUGGCGGGGUAAAGGCCCACCAAGGCGACGAUCCGUAGCUGGUCUGAGAGGAUGAUCAGCCACACUGGAACUGAGACACGGUCCAGACUCCUACGGGAGGCAGCAGUGGGGAAUAUUGGGCAAUGGGCGCAAGCCUGAUCCAGCCAUACCGCGUGGGUGAAGAAGGCCUUCGGGUUGUAAAGCCCUUUUGUUGGGAAAGAAAAGCAGCAGGUUAAUACCCCGCUGUUCUGACGGUACCCAAAGAAUAAGCACCGGCUAACUUCGUG